AGUGAACGCUGGCGGUAGGCCUAACACAUGCAAGUCGAACGGCAGCACAGUAAGAGCUUGCUCUUACGGGUGGCGAGUGGCGGACGGGUGAGGAAUACAUCUGAAUCUACUUUUUCGUGGGGGAUAACGUAGGGAAACUUACGCUAAUACCGCAUACGACCUACGGGUGAAAGCAGGGGAUCUUCGGACCUUGCGCGAUCGAAUGAGCCGAUGUCGGAUUAGCUAGUUGGCCGGGUAAAGGCCCACCAAGGCGACGAUCCGUAGCUGGUCUGAGAGGAUGAUCAGCCACACUGGAACUGAGACACGGUCCAGACUCCUACGGGAGGCAGCAGUGGGGAAUAUUGGACAAUGGGCGCAAGCCUGAUCCAGCCAUACCGCGUGGGUGAAGAAGGCCUUCGGGUUGUAAAGCCCUUUUGUUGGGAAAGAAAAGCAGCAGGUUAAUACCCCGCUGUUCUGACGGUACCCAAAGAAUAAGCACCGGCUAACUUCGUG
rnacentral:rRNA from 1 species